rnacentral:rRNA from 1 species
UACGUAGGGGGCUAGCGUUGUCCGGAAUCAUUGGGCGUAAAGAGCGUGUAGGCGGCCCGGUAAGUCCGCUGUAAAAGUCAAAGGCUCAACCUUUGAAUGUCAGUGGAUACUGCCGGGCUAGAGUCCGGAAGAGGCGAGUGGAACUCCUGGUGUAGCGGUGAAAUGCGCAGAUAUCGGGAGGAACACCAGUAGCGAAGGCGACACUCUGGGCCGGUACUGACGCUGAGGAGCGAAAGCGUGGGGAGCAAACAGG